rnacentral:rRNA from 1 species
UACAUAGGUCUCAAGCGUUGUUCGGAUUCAUUGGGCGUAAAGGGUGCGUAGGCGGCUCUGUAAGUCGGGUGUGAAAUUUCGGAGCUUAACUCCGAAACUGCAUUCGAUACUGCGGUGCUUGAGGACUGGAGAGGAGACUGGAAUUCAUGGUGUAGCAGUGAAAUGCGUAGAGAUCAUGAGGAAGACCAGUGGCGAAGGCGGGUCUCUGGACAGUUCCUGACACUGAGGCACGAAGGCCAGGGGAGCAAACGGG